rnacentral:pre_miRNA from 1 species
CAACUACUCACUCUGUCCCAAAUUUCUUGUCUUAGAUUUGUGUAGAUACGGAUGUAUCUAAUACUAAAAUGUGACUUGAUACAUCCGUAUCUAGACAAAUCUAAUACAAGAAUUUUGGGACGGAGGGAGUACUUU